GGGCAUUUGGUCUAGUGGUAUGAUUCUCGCUUAGGGUGCGAGGUCCCGAGUUCAAUUCUCGGAAUGCCCC
rnacentral:ncRNA from 15 species